rnacentral:rRNA from 1 species
CCGAACGGCAGAAGUGGUGAUGGGCGCGUAUUUUCCGCCGGGCUCUUGGCCGGCGUACUUGUGCGCGUCCGUAGGUCAGCGUGGGUUGGGGCGUGGGAGUCGUUCAUGGGAAGGUC